UCCAAGCGACGGUUGGCAAACCCACUCUUUUCGUCAAAGAAAAAAAAAGGAAAUGAACGGAUAACCUCCGUAGUUCUUGGAUCGAAAGCGGCGAGCAGUUUCGGCGGCGACGGAGAGAGGUGUCGGCGGCGAGCUCGUGGUAGCUGCUGGUCGACCCCUGAUGAGUGCGGCACUGGGGGUGGAAGGUUGGCCGGAGGCAGCAGCGAGGCGAGCUGUGCUGCAGGAGGCUUCGCGGCGGGUGACGGCUUCGCCCGCCGACGGCCGUGUCGCAGUCCGCAUCGAUCCCCAGCCCCCUUCGUUGCUCGUGGCGAUGGUCCCCUGCUUCCACGCAUGGUCUCUCCACUCCUCCCUCUUGUCUCCUUUCCAUCCUCGCUCACCCUGAUCGAUGUGCUUAAUUGCCUUGCAGGAAGGCCAUCGACUCGUAAGUCUACAAGCUGUCCCACGGCUGCCUUCAUUUCCACCCAGGUUUUAGGUUACUCAAGAUCAACUGAGUGCACUAGGCAUCCAUAGUUGCAAAACGAUUCUGGAUUUUUGCUUGGUAAAUUUUCUGGAAUUACUAAUUUGUGCAUGUAUCGGUCAGCAAUCAAAAUCAUUUGUUGAUCGAGAAGUCCAAAAAUAGUAAGGUCCGUUCUCUUAACUGAAUUUUUAACUUUGCUCCCUAUUGUAUAUAUAUUCACACGAGAAGCAGGUAUUUAGUAAUUUGCUGGUAUAGAAAGAUGGAUCUGUUAUUAAUAGACAUCAAGUAGUUCUUACGUUUCCUAUAGACAAUUCAUUGAGGAUAGGAACAUUGCGUGGAAAUUGAUUUUAUAAAUUAUUACAGAGAUAGCUAAUGAAACUAGAGUUGUACUCCGUAUUAGAACUGUUGCUCUUUAAGGUGUUUUGACUAUUGAGGUUUACUCUGGGUGUUGAAGUGCAACAAUUACUUCUCCCUGGAGGGUCUCUAUACUUUUGCAUGUUUGUAGUAUAUAAUAUCUGGUGUUCCUUCUUUUAAGUUUUUAAUUGUCAAAUUUCAUGUUGUUCUUGUUCCUGUUUGCUCUUUAUCCAAAUCUUCCUGGGAUUUAAAUCAGAAAGGAUGCUCAAUGGGACUUGGUCACGCUGAGAUAUCAGCAGCAAUCGGCACCGACAAAGCUCAAUUAUCUAUUGCAUAUUCAGAAGAAAGCAUCUCCUGUCGACAAUCAAGGCACUAUGACAGGUAGCUCAAGCCUAAGAUGCAAACAUCUCUAGGAAUGGAGUUGCUGACGGUAUGCAAAGAAUGAGACAAUGGUGAUGGUCAGGAUCGAUGUGUCAAGCAUCUGAGACAUAUCGACGUCAAGACAUGGAAGGGGGCUCUCUGCCCUUAUAGAUAGGCCUUCUUACCAUGCUGAAUUACCAACCUGCACAAUUAAUGUGUAUCAAAAUUAACUUUGGAAGAACAUUAAGCAUGCAAACAUAGCUGUGGAGAAUCCUUGAAACAUCUUACCUGCAAUGUUAACUUAAACCUUCUGGAUCAGCAAAUGCUUCAUCCUUCUCUUCAAAUGUAAAUUCUACUGCCCAGAACAAACCAGUUUAAGAGUUACGGGAA